rnacentral:rRNA from 1 species
AUUGAACGCUGGCGGCAUGCCUUACACAUGCAAGUCGAACGGCAGCACGGGUGCUUGCACCUGGUGCGAGUGGCGAACGGGUGAGUAAUACAUCGGAACAUGUCCUGUAGUGGGGGAUAGCCCGGCGAAAGCCGGAUUAAUACCGCAUACGAUCCACGGAUGAAAGCGGGGGACCUUCGGGCCUCGCGCUAUAGGGUUGGCCGAUGGCUGAUUAGCUAGUUGGUGGGGUAAAGGCCUACCAAGGCGACGAUCAGUAGCUGGUCUGAGAGGACGACCAGCCACACUGGGACUGAGACACGGCCCAGACUCCUACGGGAGGCAGCAGUGGGGAAUUUUGGACAAUGGGCGAAAGCCUGAUCCAGCAAUGCCGCGUGUGUGAAGAAGGCCUUCGGGUUGUAAAGCACUUUUGUCCGGAAAGAAAUCCUUGACUCUAAUACAGUCGGGGGAUGACGGUACCGGAAGAAUAAGCACCGGCUAACUACGUG